ACACCUGCACCCCCUGAUGAUGUGUCAGUGAUCUUACUGGUCAGGAAAAACAGAACUUAUAAGCAAUGUAUUUGAAUAUUCAGCUAAGAUUGCCAAGCAUGGUGUGGAGGAUGAAGCCUUCUCUCUUCUGCUUCAAGUAAGGUGAGGAACAAAUCAGGGAGAACUGUUAGGGUGUGGUGAUUCCACAGCUUCCUGGAUUUUGUGACUGCCAAGGCUGCUGAAAUUGGGAGAUGACUGUCGAGAAAGCANGACUGCAGUGGGGNGGCAUCCUUUUGCUGGAAAAAUUAGGGUGUCAAGUGGACCCAGUCAGGUAUCUCAGAAAAAGCUGGGAUGAGAUAGACUUGUUGAAAAAGUAUGUGUGAGGCUCCUCUUAUUUAAUGAUACAGAUCCCUGUGGUGCACAUGACAUACCCCUACAAUUCAGAGACUGUUGUACUAGCAAAACCCCCAGACAGGAAGA
rnacentral:lncRNA from 1 species